rnacentral:tRNA from 1 species
GGUGGCGUGGCACAACCUGGUACUGCGCUAGCCUUGAGAGCUGGUUCCCUUCGGGGUAUCUCGGUUCGAAUCCGGGCGCCACCG